rnacentral:rRNA from 1 species
UGAUAUGAACCGUUAUAACCGGCGAUACCCGAAUGGGGAAACCCAGUGUGAUUCGUCACACUAUCAUUAACUGAAUCCAUAGGUUAAUGAGGCGAACCGGGGGAACUGAAACAUCUAAGUACCCCGAGGAAAAGAAAUCAACCGAGAUUCCCCCAGUAGCGGCGAGCGAACGGGGAGGAGCCCAGAGCCUGAAUCAGCAUGUGUGUUAGUGGAAGCGUCUGGAAAGGCGCGCGAUACAGGGUGACAGCCCCGUACACAAAAGCGCAUGUGCUGUGAGCUCGAUGAGUAGGGCGGGACACGUGGUAUCCUGUCUGAAUAUGGGGGGACCAUCCUCCAAGGCUAAAUACUCCUGACUGACCGAUAGUGAACCAGUACCGUGAGGGAAAGGCGAAAAGAACCCCGG